rnacentral:rRNA from 1 species
UACGGGGGGGGCAAGCGUUGUUCGGAAUUACUGGGCGUAAAGGGCUCGUAGGCGGCCAACUAAGUCAGACGUGAAAUCCCUCGGCUUAACCGGGGAACUGCGUCUGAUACUGGAUGGCUUGAGUUCGGGAGAGGGAUGCGGAAUUCCAGGUGUAGCGGUGAAAUGCGUAGAUAUCUGGAGGAACACCGGUGGCGAAGGCGGCAUCCUGGACCGGCAUUGACGCUGAGGCGCGAAAGCUAGGGGGAGCAAACGGGG